GAUGAACGCUGGCGGCGUGCCUAAUACAUGCAAGUCGAGCGAACAGACGAGGAGCUUGCUCCUCUGACGUUAGCGGAGGACGGGUGAGAAACACGUGGAUCACCUCCCUAUAUGUCUGGUAUAAUUUCGGGAAACCGGAGCAAAUCCCGGAUAAUCUAUUGAACCGCAUGGUUCAUUAGUGAAUGACGGUUUUUCUGUCACUUAUCGAUGGUUCCGGGCCGCAUUAGCUAGUUGGGAAGGUAACGGCUUAUCACGGCUACGAUGCGUGGCCGACCGCAGAGAGUGAUCGGCGGCAUUGGAACGUAGACACGGUCCUGACUCCUGCGGGAGGCAGCAGUAGGGAAUCUUCGGCAGUGGGCGAAAGUCUUACGGAGCAACGCGACGUGUGUGAUGAAGGCCUUCCGAUCGUAAAGCCCUGCUAUUAGUUAAGAACAAAUGUGGAAUUAGCCAUGGACUUCGUGACGGUACCGAAUCAGAAAGCCACGGCUAACUACGUG
rnacentral:rRNA from 1 species